AGUGAACGCUGGCGGUAGGCCUAACACAUGCAAGUCGAACGGCAGCACAGUAAGAGCUUGCUCUUACGGGUGGCGAGUGGCGGACGGGUGAGGAAUACAUCGGAAUCUACUUUUUCGUGGGGGAUAACGUAGGGAAACUUACGCUAAUACAGCAUACGACCUACGGGUGAAAGCAGGGGAUCUUCGGACCUUGCGCGAUUGAAUGAGCCGAUGUCGGAUUAGCUAGUUGGCGGGGUAAAGGCCCACCAAGGCGACGAUCCGUAGCUGGUCUGAGAGGAUGAUCAGCCACACUGGAACUGAGACACGGUCCAGACUCCUACGGGAGGCAGCAGUGGGGAAUAUUGGACAAUGGGCGCAAGCCUGAUCCAGCAAUACCGCGUGGGUGAAGAAGGCCUUCGGGUUGUAAAGCCCUUUUGUUGGGAAAGAAAAGCAGCAGGUUAAUACCCCGCUGUUCUGACGGUACCCAAAGAAUAAGCACCGGCUAACUUCGUG
rnacentral:rRNA from 1 species